rnacentral:rRNA from 1 species
GGGUUGUGAGGUUAAGCGACUAAGCGUACACGGUGGAUGCCCUGGCAGUCAGAGGCGAUGAAGGACGUGCUAAUCUGCGAUAAGCGUCGGUAAGGUGAUAUGAACCGUUAUAACCGGCGAUUUCCGAAUGGGGAAACCCAGUGUGAUUCGUCACACUAUCAUUAACUGAAUCCAUAGGUUAAUGAGGCGAACCGGGGGAACUGAAACAUCUAAGUACCCCGAGGAAAAGAAAUCAACCGAGAUUCCCCCAGUAGCGGCGAGCGAACGGGGAGCAGCCCAGAGCCUGAAUCAGUGUGUGUGUUAGUGGAAGCGUCUGGAAAGGCGCGCGAUACAGGGUGACAGCCCCGUACACAAAAAUGCACAUGCUGUGAGCUCGAUGAGUAGGGCGGGACACGUGGUAUCCUGUCUGAAUAUGGGGGGACCAUCCUCCAAGGCUAAAUACUCCUGACUGACCGAUAGUGAACCAGUACCGUGAGGGAAAGGCGAAAAGAACCCCGGCGAGGGGAGUGAAAAAGAACCUGAAACCGUGUACGUACAAGCAGUGGGAGCACGCUUAGGCGUGUGACUGCGUACCUUUUGUAUAAUGGGUCAGCGACUUAUAUUCUGUAGCAAGGUUAACCGAAUAGGGGAGCCGAAGGGAAACCGAGUCUUAACUGGGCGUUAAGUUGCAGGGUAUAGACCCGAAACCCGGUGAUCUAGCCAUGGGCAGGUUGAAGGUUGGGUAACACUAACUGGAGGACCGAACCGACUAAUGUUGAAAAAUUAGCGGAUGACUUGUGGCUGGGGGUGAAAGGCCAAUCAAACCGGGAGAUAGCUGGUUCUCCCCGAAAGCUAUUUAGGUAGCGCCUCGUGAAUUCAUCUCCGGGGGUAGAGCACUGUUUCGGCAAGGGGGUCAUCCCGACUUACCAACCCGAUGCAAACUGCGAAUACCGGAGAAUGUUAUCACGGGAGACACACGGCGGGUGCUAACGUCCGUCGUGAAGAGGGAAACAACCCAGACCGCCAGCUAAGGUCCCAAAGUCAUGGUUAAGUGGGAAACGAUGUGGGAAGGCCCAGACAGCCAGGAUGUUGGCUUAGAAGCAGCCAUCAUUUAAAGAAAGCGUAAUAGCUCACUGGUCGAGUCGGCCUGCGCGGAAGAUGUAACGGGGCUAAACCAUGCACCGAAGCUGCGGCAGCGACACUGUGUGUUGUUGGGUAGGGGAGCGUUCUGUAAGCCUGCGAAGGUGUGCUGUGAGGCAUGCUGGAGGUAUCAGAAGUGCGAAUGCUGACAUAAGUAACGAUAAAGCGGGUGAAAAGCCCGCUCGCCGGAAGACCAAGGGUUCCUGUCCAACGUUAAUCGGGGCAGGGUGAGUCGACCCCUAAGGCGAGGCCGAAAGGCGUAGUCGAUGGGAAACAGGUUAAUAUUCCUGUACUUGGUGUUACUGCGAAGGGGGGACGGAGAAGGCUAUGUUGGCCGGGCGACGGUUGUCCCGGUUUAAGCGUGUAGGCUGGUUUUCCAGGCAAAUCCGGAAAAUCAAGGCUGAGGCGUGAUGACGAGGCACUACGGUGCUGAAGCAACAAAUGCCCUGCUUCCAGGAAAAGCCUCUAAGCAUCAGGUAACAUCAAAUCGUACCCCAAACCGACACAGGUGGUCAGGUAGAGAAUACCAAGGCGCUUGAGAGAACUCGGGUGAAGGAACUAGGCAAAAUGGUGCCGUAACUUCGGGAGAAGGCACGCUGAUAUGUAGGUGAAGUCCCUCGCGGAUGGAGCUGAAAUCAGUCGAAGAUACCAGCUGGCUGCAACUGUUUAUUAAAAACACAGCACUGUGCAAACACGAAAGUGGACGUAUACGGUGUGACGCCUGCCCGGUGCCGGAAGGUUAAUUGAUGGGGUCAGCGCAAGCGAAGCUCUUGAUCGAAGCCCCGGUAAACGGCGGCCGUAACUAUAACGGUCCUAAGGUAGCGAAAUUCCUUGUCGGGUAAGUUCCGACCUGCACGAAUGGCGUAAUGAUGGCCAGGCUGUCUCCACCCGAGACUCAGUGAAAUUGAACUCGCUGUGAAGAUGCAGUGUACCCGCGGCAAGACGGAAAGACCCCGUGAACCUUUACUAUAGCUUGACACUGAACAUUGAGCCUUGAUGUGUAGGAUAGGUGGGAGGCUUUGAAGUGUGGACGCCAGUCUGCAUGGAGCCGACCUUGAAAUACCACCCUUUAAUGUUUGAUGUUCUAACGUUGACCCGUGAUCCGGGUUGCGGACAGUGUCUGGUGGGUAGUUUGACUGGGGCGGUCUCCUCCUAAAGAGUAACGGAGGAGCACGAAGGUUGGCUAAUCCUGGUCGGACAUCAGGAGGUUAGUGCAAUGGCAUAAGCCAGCUUGACUGCGAGCGUGACGGCGCGAGCAGGUGCGAAAGCAGGUCAUAGUGAUCCGGUGGUUCUGAAUGGAAGGGCCAUCGCUCAACGGAUAAAAGGUACUCCGGGGAUAACAGGCUGAUACCGCCCAAGAGUUCAUAUCGACGGCGGUGUUUGGCACCUCGAUGUCGGCUCAUCACAUCCUGGGGCUGAAGUAGGUCCCAAGGGUAUGGCUGUUCGCCAUUUAAAGUGGUACGCGAGCUGGGUUUAGAACGUCGUGAGACAGUUCGGUCCCUAUCUGCCGUGGGCGCUGGAGAACUGAGGGGGGCUGCUCCUAGUACGAGAGGACCGGAGUGGACGCAUCACUGGUGUUCGGGUUGUCAUGCCAAUGGCACUGCCCGGUAGCUAAAUGCGGAAGAGAUAAGUGCUGAAAGCAUCUAAGCACGAAACUUGCCCCGAGAUGAGUUCUCCCUGACUCCUUGAGAGUCCUGAAGGAACGUUGAAGACGACGACGUUGAUAGGCCGGGUGUGUAAGCGCAGCGAUGCGUUGAGCUAACCGGUACUAAUGAACCGUGAGGCUUAACCUUACAACGCCGAAG